AAGAAUUGAAUGUAUGAAAUAGAUAAAGAAGUAAUUAAAUAAUUGUAUAUGGAUAAGCAUUAAAUUUUAUUUGUAGGAAAGAAGAAACUUAAGGCCCCGUUUGGAUACUCCUGAAAACGUAGCAUAGCUAAACUAUGCUACGGCGGUAGGAAAAAUAUCCUAUGAAGCGUUUGGGAGGAAAAAAAGUAACGUAAUUUUUGGAGUAUAGUUAAACUAUACUCCAAAAAAUGGAGUAAAAGUAUAAUCCACUCU
rnacentral:lncRNA from 1 species